GGUAGCGUGCGGCGUCUAAGGCGCUGGUUUAAGGGACCAGUCAUUUCGUGGGUUCGAAUCCCACCGCUGCCA
rnacentral:tRNA from 1 species